GACGAACGCUGGCGGCGUGCUUAACACAUGCAAGUCGAACGGAAAGGCCCCCUUGUGGGGUACUCGAGUGGCGAACGGGUGAGUAACACGUGAGUAACCUACCCUUGACUUUGGGAUAACUUCAGGAAACUGGGGCUAAUACCGGAUAGGAGCUCCUGCUGCAUGGUGGGGGUUGGAAAGUUUCGGCGGUUGGGGAUGGACUCGCGGCUUAUCCGCUUGUUGGUGGGGUAGUGGCUCACCAAGGCUUUGACGGGUAGCCGGCCUGGGAGGGUGACCGGCCACAUUGGGACUGGGAUACGGCCCAGACUCCUACGGGAGGCAGCAGUGGAGAAUAUUGCACAAUGGGCGGAAGCAUGAUGCAGCAACGCCGCGUGCGGGAUGACGGCCUUCGGGUUGUAAACCGCUUUCGCCUGUGACGAAGCGUGAGUGACGGUAAUGGGUAAAGAAGCACCGGCUAACUACGU
rnacentral:rRNA from 1 species